UGCUGCUGCCGCUGCUGCUGCUUCCAUCGGGGAAGGAAGGAGGAGUGAUGGUCACGCCGGGCCUUUUUGUUUUCUGGAAUUGCUUUUGGGCCAGUGGCCCGUUACUUGCUAUUUUUGGCGGCCAAGUUCUGAGGUGGAAGCAUAUUAGCAGUCGCCAUGACCGAUGAACCAUGUCACUGAACCUUGUACGUGAGUGCGUCUUGGUGCAUCCUGCAACGGAUCCAUCGUGUUUGACCGCUCAACAAAGGGUUCCCAACUCUGAAACAUGGCAUCAGUUCCUCUUCUUCCCG
rnacentral:lncRNA from 1 species